ACCGCGCAGCCACCGACGUCUAUGCCCUCAUGUUCCUGGCUGAUGUUGUCGACUUCAUCAUCAUCAUUUUUGGCUUCUGGGCCUUUGGGGUAAGCCAGGCCCGGGACCCCCCCACCAGUGUACGCAGAGCUCAGCAGCCACCCACAUCCCGUGGGCCUGGCUCCCCCUGACCUGUGCUCUCCUGGCCACAGAAGCACUCGGCGGCCACGGACAUCACGUCCUCCCUAUCAGACGACCAGGUACCCGAGGCCUUCCUGGUCAUGCUGCUGAUCCAGUUCAGCACCAUGGUGGUGGACCGCGCCCUCUACCUGCGCAAGACCGUGUUGGGCAAGCUGGCCUUCCAGGUGGUGCUGGUGCUGGCCAUCCACCUAUGGAUGUUCUUCAUCCUGCCCGCCGUUACUGAGAGGAUGUUCAGCCAGAAUGCGGUGGCCCAGCUGUGGUACUUCGUGAAAUGCAUCUACUUCGCCCUGUCCGCCUACCAGAUCCGCUGCGGCUACCCCACCCGCAUCCUCGGCAACUUCCUCACCAAGAAGUACAAUCACCUCAACCUCUUCCUCUUCCAGGGGUGAGUGCAGGUCCGCCGGGGUGGGGGUCACGGCCUGGGCAGGAGGGAGCCCACCUGACGGGAACCCUGGCUGUGGGCAGGUUCCGGCUGGUGCCGUUCCUGGUGGAGCUGCGGGCAGUGAUGGACUGGGUGUGGACGGACACCACGCUGUCCCUGUCCAGCUGGAUGUGCGUGGAGGACAUCUAUGCCAACAUCUUCAUCAUCAAAUGCAGCCGAGAGACAGAGAAGAAAUACCCGCAGCCCAAAGGGCAGAAGAAGAAGAAGAUCGUCAAGUACGGCAUGGGUGGCCUCAUCAUCCUCUUCCUCAUCGCCAUCAUCUGGUUCCCGCUGCUCUUCAUGUCGCUGGUGCGCUCCGUGGUCGGGGUUGUCAACCAGCCCAUCGAUGUCACUGUCACCCUCAAGCUCGGUGGCUAUGAG
rnacentral:sRNA from 1 species